UCCUUUAAAUCCCUGCAGUGGCUUCAGAUUCUCCCUGUCCUUCCCAGGGAAUUCAGCAGGAUAUCCAAAAAAGAAUGUCUUUAGUGUCGACCAACCAGCUCUCCUCUCUGGAGUCCAGGGUGGUUCCAUCAAGAUCUCCUUCUCCUUCUACUUCCCCUGGGAGUUGGCCAAGGAUCCUUAGAUGAGCAUAGCCUGGAGAUGGAAAAACUACCAUGGGGAAUACAUCUACAACUCCACCCAGCCUUUUAUUCAUGAGCAUUUUAAGGGCCGGCUCAUCAUGAAUUGGUCACAGGGUCAGACAUCUGGUGUCCUCAGAAUCCUGAACUUGAAGGAGAAUGACCAGGCCACAUACUUCAGCCGAGUUUUUCUGCAAACAACUGAAGGCAUGAAGUCGUGGCAGUCUGUAGCUGGAACCCAACUCAUCAUCAUUCAUGCUCCCAGUACUACCGUGGUGAGCCCCUCCAUCAUCCCCUCUGUAUUCCCCACAGCUGGCCUGGAGGACACAAGGGGCAAGAGGACUCCUUCACUGCUGAACUUGGGAGCCAUGGUUAGGAUGGUUGUGUCCAAAGUUGUGGUCAUCAUUCCACUCUAUGGAUGGGUGUUCUUCCUGUGGUGGAAGCAAAGGCCAGCAGAGUAAAGCCUCAACCCUAGUAAGGCUCCUCCGUACUAGGGUCUCUCAUCAGGGAGGUGAAUUUACAUCAAAGUAGUUGUUGGUGAUCACACACCCUGCAUCCCACAGCCUUCCAUGUCUUCUAGCUGGGAGUCAGAGCUAAUGGUUGCAGGAUUCUCCCGUGAAAGUCAUUCUUGGAUAACCCGCACUUCUGCCAUGAGUACUCCGACAUGCUCUCCUUGGAACCAUGGUCCUCCUGUGUGUUUCUGGGCCUGAAAGCCUGACUGUGCUGUUGUCUCUCUGCUCAUGGAGUUAUUGACACUGUUAAUAAAUAUCUUACUCCAAGCAAUC
rnacentral:lncRNA from 14 species